AUUGAACGCUGGCGGCAGGCCUAACACAUGCAAGUCGAGCGAGCGGCGGACGGGUGCGUAAUGACUGGGAAACUGCCUGAUGGAGGUGGAUAACUACUGGAAACGGUAUCUAAUAACGAAUACCAUCAGAUGUGCCCAGAUGGGAUUAGAUAGUAGGUGGGGUAACGGCUCACCUAGGCGACGAUCCCCAGCUGGUCUGAGAGGAUGACCAGCCAGACUGAAAUGGAUACACGGUCCAGCCUCCAACGGGAGGCAGCAGUGGGUAAUAGUGCACAAUGGGCGCAAACCUGAAGCAGCCAUGCAGCGUGGGUGAAGAAGGCCUUCGGGUUGUAAAGCACUUUCAGCGGGGAGGCGUUACCCGCAGAAGAAGCACCGGCUAACUCCGUGACAGCCGCCGCGGUAAUAC
rnacentral:rRNA from 1 species